rnacentral:rRNA from 1 species
UACGUAGGGGGCGAGCGUUGUCCGGAUUUAUUGGGCGUAAAGAGCGUGUAGGCGGCCCGGUAAGUCCGCUGUAAAAGUCAAAGGCUCAACCUUUGAAUGUCAGUGGAUACUGCCGGGCUAGAGUCCGGAAGAGGCGAGUGGAACUCCUGGUGUAGCGGUGGAAUGCGCAGAUAUCAGGAAGAACACCCGUGGCGAAGGCGGUUCUCUGGGACGGUACUGACGCUGAGACGCGAAAGCGUGGGGAGCGAACAGG